AACGUACAAAAUACAAAAAUGAAGUUCUUGUCUAUCCUCUUGGUUGACAUCUUUGUCUUCUUUCUGAUGGGAAAUAUAAAGGCACAACCCCAACAAUUAUGUAAUGAAAUCAUUUGCCAGGCUACCUGUAGCCAACUAUGCGUCAGUGCUGCCUGUAGCGGCAUAUGUGUCAAUGACGCAUGCAACUGCAAUUGUAUUCCAUACAUGGGAUCAUCAGCGAAGCAGCCCCAACAAAAGGAUGCUAAUAAACAAGGAUAAAGACGUCAAGUCUUAUUAAAACUGUGAUGCUUUGACUUCGAAACUCUGAAUAUAAUGUAUGUUGCUCAUAA